rnacentral:rRNA from 1 species
UAGGGAAUCUUCCACAAUGGACGCAAGUCUGAUGGAGCAACGCCGCGUGAGUGAAGAAGGGUUUCGGCUCGUAAAACUCUGUUGUUAAAGAAGAAUAUAUCUGAGAGUAACUGUUCAGGUAUUGACGGUAUUUAACCAGAAAGCCACGGCUAACUACGUGCCAG